rnacentral:lncRNA from 1 species
CUUAGAAUCUGUAGGGCAUGGAGACUGCUCUGUGGCACAACUAGAGAAGGAGACAAGACAAGAUGAGCUCUAUCUGCCCAGCAGCCUUUCAGAGGCAUUAAGGGAUGUGGGGGACAGUUGGAAGAGUGGUAAAGCAGUAGAGGCAGAAUGCUCAUUUUGGUAAUCAAGGAGCACCAACAGCUGGUUCCUGUUGAAUGCCAUCAGGAUGAUUCAGCCACCCACCAGGAACACCAGUAACAGCAAGUGCACGCACAGAAAUCUGCAAAACUUUCUUCUUUUGAUGCCAACACUAUUACUCUGGCAAAGUCAAAACCCUUUAUGGAUUUACCAGUUCAACUAAAUGUGACCUUGUUCCCCUCACAAAUACCAGCUCACUCUCAAAUAAACACAACUUCUGGCUGAUUAAAAUGCAACGUUCUUCCACAGUUGAGUGCACCCUGCAGUGAGUCCCUCCUCUGUGCUGUGUCUACAUUCUCUCCCUUUUUCAUUUUUUCACUGUUCAAUGAAACUUCAAAGGAUGAAUGAGAUCCAUAUACACUCAGAGUCCACCUUGUAUGUUGUCCUGCUUACUGCUGACCACAUGCAUUUAAAGUUAUGCCUCAAGUUGUUUUAUUGUUUCUAUUUUUAAGAAGUUUUCCAUUUCCACAGAAUGUGGUAAUAUGCCUUGAAAAACAGAAAUGUGUAGAUAAACUGUGCUGACCACAGACUUCAUUAAUACAUGAUUUCCAUGCCAUACUCUAGCCAGUUAAAAAUUCUAUACCUUCCUCCUUCAAAUCUAGACCAGAUUACAGACUUAAAGGAAGAAAAUGCCAAAGAUGACAGCUAGCUAUCAAAAAUGUUCUAGUGCCUCAUUUUCAGGUCUCCAAAGUAAAAUCUAAGGGCAUUCGACAAAGAUUCAGGUGCUCUCAAUAGCCAUGAAAAUAUAUGGCUGAAGAGGGAAUCUGUAAAUGUAAUGAAUACACAAUUGGCUUAUAACAGAUGCAACCAAAAUUAAAUUCAAGAUCUUGACCUACUCUUCAAAGUGAAAGUUUUUAGUUCAUGCUACAGAGAG